rnacentral:rRNA from 1 species
UACAGGGGGUGCAAACGUUGCUCGGAAUCAUUGGGCGUAAAGCGCACGUAGGCGGUCUGUUAUGUCGGAUGCGAAAGCCCUCGGCUUAACUGAGGAAGUGCAUCCGAAACUGGCAGGCUAGAGUACCAAAGAGGGUCGCGGAAUUCCCGGUGUAGAGGUGAAAUUCGUAGAUAUCGGGAGGAACACCGGUGGCGAAGGCGGCGACCUGGGUGGAUACUGACGCUGAGGUGCGAAAGCGUGGGGAGCAAACAGG